GACGAACGCUGGCGGCGUGCUUAACACAUGCAAGUCGAACGGAAAGGCCCUGCUUUUGUGGGGUGCUCGAGUGGCGAACGGGUGAGUAACACGUGAGUAACCUGCCCUUGACUUUGGGAUAACUUCAGGAAACUGGGGCUAAUACCGGAUAGGAGCUCCUGCUGCAUGGUGGGGGUUGGAAAGUUUCGGCGGUUGGGGAUGGACUCGCGGCUUAUCAGCUUGUUGGUGGGGUAGUGGCUUACCAAGGCUUUGACGGGUAGCCGGCCUGAGAGGGUGACCGGCCACAUUGGGACUGAGAUACGGCCCAGACUCCUACGGGCGGCAGCAGUGGGGAAUGUUGCCCAAUGGGCGGAAGCCUGAUGCAGCAACGCCGCGUGCGGGAUGACGGCCUUCGGGUUGUAAACCGCUUUCGCCUGUGACGAAGCGUGAGUGACGGUGAUGGGUAAAGAAGCACCGGCUCCCUACGUG
rnacentral:rRNA from 1 species